rnacentral:rRNA from 1 species
UAAGCAUAUCAAUAAGCGGAGGAAAAGAAACCAACAGGGAUUGCCCUAGUAACGGCGAGUGAAGCGGCAAAAGCUCAGAUUUGAAAUCUCUUUCUUUCAGAAAGCGAGUUGUAAUCUGGAGAUGGUUGGAUGGCUGCCGGUCUGGUCUAAGUUCCCUGGAAUAGGACAUCAUAGAGGGUGAGAAUCCCGUGAUUGACCAAGAUUUAAUGCCGUUUAAUCCACCAUUCGACGAGUCGAGUUGUUUGGGAAUGCAGCUCUAAAUGGGUGGUAAAUUUCAUCUAAAGCUAAAUACCUGCCAGAGACCGAUAGCGAACAAGUAGCGUGAGCGAAAGAUGAAAAGCACUUUGAAAAGAGAGUUAAACAGUACGUGAAAUUGUUGAAAGGGAAGCGCUUGCCAUUAGACUUGAUAAUUAAAUUCAGCCAACUCAUGGGUUCGGCCUAUUUUUUAACUAUCAGGCCAGCAUCAGUUUGGAGAGGAUGUUAAAAGCAGUCGGAAUGUAGCAAUUAUUUCGGUAAUUGUGUUAUAGCCUUCUGCAGCAUAAUCCUACACCAGACUGAGGUCUGCCCUUCGGGAAGGAUGCUGGCGUAAUGAUGGCAAGCGACCCGUCUUGAA